GACGAACCGUGCGAACGUUGUUCGGAAUUACUGGGCGUAAAGCGCACGUAGGCGGCUUUGUAAGUUAGAGGUGAAAGCCCAGGGCUUAACCCUGGAAUUGCCUUUAAGACUGCAUCGCUAGAAUCGUGGAGAGGUGAGUGGAAUUCCGAGUGUAGAGGUGAAAUUCGUAGAUAUUCGGAAGAACACCAGUGGCGAAGGCGACUCACUGGACACGUAUUGACGCUGAGGUGCGAAAGCGUGGGGAGCAAACAGG
rnacentral:rRNA from 1 species